rnacentral:rRNA from 1 species
UCAGACGAUGCGUCAUGCAUAUCAAUAAGCGGAGGAAAAGAAACUAACUAGGAUUCCCUCAGUAACGGCGAGUGAAGCGGGAAGAGCUCAAAUUUGAAAUCUUCAAGGUUUUACCUUGACGAAUUGUAGUUUAAAGAAGUGUUUUCGGUUAGAGGAGUAGUAAAAGUUCUUUGGAAUAGGACAUCAUAGAGGGUGAGAAUCCCGUAUUUGACCAUUAUUUUCAGCUGUGUGAUACACUUUCAAAGAGUCGGAUUGUUUGGGAAUGCAGUCCAAAAUGGGUGGUAAAUUUCAUCUAAAGCUAAAUACUGGCGAGAGACCGAUAGCGAACAAGUACCGUGAGGGAAAGAUGAAAAGAACUUUGAAAAGAGAGUUAAACAGUACGUGAAAUUGUCAAAAGGGAAGCGUUUGACACCAGUGUUGUUUUCUCGAAAAUCAAUUAAAAAAGGCCGGAUUUGUGUUGUAUUGACUUUAUCAGCUUUCUGCACUUUUUUCUUGUCUUUUUUAAUGCACUUUUCGUUUAACAAGUCAACAUCAAUUUCUUUUGUUGUAAAAGGGUCAUUGGAAGGUGGCUUUCUUUUCGGAGAAAGUGUUUAUAGCCUUUGGCCUCUGCAAUCGGAGAGACUGAGGUCUGCAGCGUAGAUCCUUCGGGGUUAGAUACAUUUGUGCUAAGCUACAGCUUUUCAUAGACAACUUGUUGACUAUGUUUAGUCUUGUAACUUACCCGCUUAUGCUAUUUUACCUACGCUUAGGAUGUUGAUAUGCAUGACUGAUAU